UUGUAACUGAGAGGUCACAGCUGAGGGGGAGGAAAGGCAUCUUUUACAGCCCUGCUGAUAUAUUCAAACUUUCCUUCAUUGCAGCUUCCUUCCUAAGUGAAUUGUAAAUUCAUUUAAAGAAGCCAGUGGGCACUUUACAAGCUCUAGAUCAGAAGGUCUUGGAUGGAAUAAUCCAUUCGGGUCUUACUCACUAAUGAAACUGACACUUCCUUGACAACCCCUGUUAUUCUUGCUGACUUCAACUAACUAAUAGGAUCUCAUGUCAGGCUUUUUCUUUCUGGAGCAAUGUCACACAAGGAGGGCAGAAGUGCACUACGCCAAGUUCAACAUCAUUGCCAGCUGAGAAAGGAGAAUAAAGAAUGGGAGUUUGCAAGGUUCAAAAUGAAAACUAACUGACCAGCAAGCAACUUCUUGAUAUUUAAAGCCCACAAGAUAGCACUUUCAUCUCCCAAACAAACUAAAACAAGAUAAAAACAAAAGAAAUUAUAAUUGCUUUCCUGUGAAAACAGGAAAUCUGCCAUCCACCA